CCCUGGCACAGCCCUCGUCGUUGUUAGGCUCCUCAAUCCCCUCGCACAAGGAGCCACCGCCAACCCUGCCCUCGACCGUGGCGCCGUCGGCGUCCUAUCGCUCGUGCCACCGCCGCCGGCGACCCUCGCACAGCCGCAGCCGCAGCCGCCUGCUCUCCUCUGCUGCCCCAGCGCCCCGAGCAUCGCCCCGUCGAAUAGGGCCUCCCCACGGCAGCGCCUCCUCCCUGGAUCAGCCACUGAAGGCCAUCAACGCCGGCGACCGAAUCCAUAGGAAGUCGUCCGCCGCCGCCGAGGACGGAGAAGGUCCGGUGUCUAUAACCGUCGAUUCUGAAAGCUCAACAGGUCAAGUGACCUUGUAGAAAAUUUUGGUAGCAGGCUGCACAAAAAUGUUGGGUGGGCAAGGAAUUGAAGGAUGGAAAAACUUUCGAGCUUCGCUGGAAGUUGCGUGAUCGAUGAGCUUCUUUUAAACCAGUCGCUUGUUUUGUAAGGGUGUUGGAGUGAAUUGAUCCAUUACAAGGAUAGCUUGCUUUGUUUUGGCAGAGAGCCAUCGUUGUUGCUCUGCUUUGCAUGUUGUUACGUCUUGCUGAUGGUUUAUGUUUUUUUCUCUGAACUGGACAAACCUAAGCUUGUAUUAUCCGUUUCAUGCUGAAUGACAGUGGCUCACUUGAGCUCCUUAAUUUUACAAAAUAUCUAUCUUUCGCUCAAAAUAUCUACUCCUAUUGAUUUUUAAUGAGUGGAACUUAAUAGAGUUGGACUUCAGGGAUUUAUAAGGUUGCAAGUGUCUUUUUAUUCUAGCAAAGUUGCUGCCUCAUUUAUUGAGGAAAGUGUUACUAAUACUUUUGACCAAAAGAAGUAGGACUAAUGUUUGCUCACAUGGUCUCCUAUGAACAGUGAUUGUGGGCGUCCACGAUGGACGCUGCGGUGCAGGGACUUGUUUCAACAGCGGCAUUUUGAGGUCAUGCAUAUGAAGAUAGGAAAUACUGUUGAUGAGGUGGAGUUGAUCGGAAUGGGAUGUGUUUGGGAUCAUAUCGGGUUCCCCUGCUGCUAUCUCUGCAGAGGGUUGAGCGAGACCGCAGUUUCUUGUUCUUGCAGAUGCAUUCUUGGAUCAUUUCUUCUGACUAUAGUGAAUGCCUAAUCCUACAGUUAUAUGAGCAGCAUUGUUUUGAUGAACUAGGCCUUGUGGUUUUCCAUCCCUGUAGCUUGAUUGCAUUCUUCAAAGGUGGCAAAGUAACGAUCGAGUUGCA